UGCGCAGGCGGCCGUGUGUGUCAGAUGUGAAAUCCCGGGGCUUAACCCCGGAACUGCGUCUGAAACUACACGGCUAGAGCAUUGGAGAGGGAAGUGGAAUUCAUGGUGUAGCAGUGAAAUGCGUAGAUAUCAUGAGGAACACCAGAGGCGAAGGCGACUUCCUGGACAAUUGCUGACGCUCAGGCACGAAAGCGUGGGUAGCAAAAG
rnacentral:rRNA from 1 species